rnacentral:rRNA from 1 species
CAAUAGCGUAUAUUAAAGUUGUUGCAGUUAGAACGCUCGUAGUCGGAUUUCGGGGCGGGCCGACCGGUCUGCCGAUGGGUACGCACUGGUCGGCGCGUCCUUCCUUCCGGAGACCGUGCCUACUCUUAACUGAGCGGGGGCGGGAGACGGAUCGUUUACUUUGAAAAAAUCAGAGUGUUUCAAGCAGGCAGCUCGCUCUUGCAUGGAUUAGCAUGGGAUAAUGAAAUAGGACUUUGGUGCUAUUUUGUUGGUUUCGAACACCGAAGUAAUGAUUAACAGGGACAGUCAGGGGCACUCGUAUUCCGCCGAGAGAGGUGAAAUUCUCAGACCAGCGGAAGACGAACUACUGCGAANGNAUUUGGNAGGGAUGUUUNCACUG